rnacentral:rRNA from 1 species
GAUGAACGCUAGCGGCAGGCCUAACACAUGCAAGUCGAGGGGUAACUAGAGUGAUAGCAAUAUUACUUUGGCUAGACCGGCGCACGGGUGCGUAACACGUAUGCAACCUACCUUAUACUGGGGAAUAACUUCGAGAAAUCGGCGCUAAUACCCCAUAACACUGCGGAGAGGCAUCUCUUUGCAGUUAAAGCUCCGGCGGUAUAAGAUGGGCAUGCGUCCAAUUAGCUAGUUGGUGAGGUAACGGCUCACCAAGGCUACGAUUGGUAGGGGUUCUGAGAGGAUGAUCCCCCACACUGGUACUGAGACACGGACCAGACUCCUACGGGAGGCAGCAGUGAGGAAUAUUGCGCAAUGGACGAAAGUCUGACGCAGCCAUGCCGCGUGCAGGAUGACGGCCCUAUGGGUUGUAAACUGCUUUUGUACGGGAAUAGACCCUUCUACGUGUAGGAGGCUGAAGGUACCGUGAGAAUAAGCACCGGCUAACUCCGUGCCAGCAGCCGCAGUAA